rnacentral:ncRNA from 2 species
AGACGCCCACCAGAUGUAUGCUCGUCUCGCUGUCGACACAGGGGAAUCCGGUGCGAAUCCGGAACUGUCCCGCAACGGUGUGCUGUGGUGCGCUUUGUCGUACCCGCGAGUCCGAAGACCUGCCGACGGUGCGUCCGGUUC